GAUGAACGCUGGCGGCGUGCUUAACACAUGCAAGUCGAACGGAAAGGCCCAAGCUUGCUUGGGUACUCGAGUGGCGAACGGGUGCGUAACACGUGGGUGAUCUGCUCUGCACUUCGGGAUAAGCCUGGGAAACUGGGCCUAAUACCGGAUAGGACGAUGGUUUGGAUGCCAUUGUGGAAAGUUUUUUCGGUGUGGGAUGAGCUCGCGGCCUAUCAGGUUGUUGAUGGGGUAAUGGCCUACCAAGGCGUCGACGGGUAGCCGGCCUGAGAGGGUGUACGGCCACAUUGGGACUGAGAGACGGCCCAGACUCCUGCGGGAGGCAGCAGUGGGGAAUAUUGCACAAUGGGCGCAAGCCUGAUGCAGCGACGCCGCGUGGGGGAUGACGGCCUUCGGGUUGUAAACUCCUUUCGCUAUGGACGAAGCGUUUUUGUGACGGUACCUGGAGAAGAAGCACCGGCUAACUACGUG
rnacentral:rRNA from 1 species